GACGAACGCUGGCGGCGUGCUUAACACAUGCAAGUCGAACGGAAAGGCCCUGCUUUUGUGGGGUGCUCGAGUGGCGAACGGGUGAGUAACACGUGAGUAACCUGCCCUUGACUUUGGGAUAACUUCAGGAAACUGGGGCUAAUACCGGAUAGGAGCUCCUGCUGCAUGGUGGGGGUUGGAAAGUUUCGGCGGUUGGGUAUGGACUCGCGGCUUAUCAGCUUGUUGGUGGGGUAGUGGCUUACCAAGGCUUUGACGGGUAGCCGGCCUGAGAGGGUGACCGGCCACAUUGGGCGUGAGAUACGGCACAGACUCCUACGGGAGGCAGCAGUGGGGAAUAUUGCAGGAUGGGAGGAAGCCUGAUGCAGCAACGCCGCGUGCGGGAUGACGGCCUUCGGGUUGUAAACCGCUUUCGCCUGAGACGAAGCGUGAGUGACGGUAAUGGGUAAAGAAGCACCGGCUAACUACGUG
rnacentral:rRNA from 1 species